rnacentral:tRNA from 1 species
GUCACUUUGCCGGAGUGGUUAACGGGAUCGCCUGCUAUUCUAGCUAUCAGCGGUUGGGCUUUGCCCGCGAGUGUUCGAAUCGCUCAGGUGACG